rnacentral:rRNA from 1 species
GCUCUUUUACCAGGGAUGAUAAUGACAGUACCUGGAGAAUAAGCUCCGGCUAACUCCGUGCCAGCAGCCGCGGUAAUACGGAGGGAGCUAGCGUUGUUCGGAAUUACUGGGCGUAAAGCGCACGUAGGCGGUACAUCAAGUCAGGGGUGAAAGCCCGGAGCUCAACUCCGGAACUGCCCUUGAAACUAGUGUGCUAGAAUCUUGGAGAGGCGGGUGGAAUUCCGAGUGUAGAGGUGAAAUUCGUAGAUAUUCGGAAGAACACCA